GAUGAACGCUGGCGGCGUGCCUAAUACAUGCAAGUCGAGCGAGCGGACGAGAAGCUUGCUUCUCUGAUGUUAGCGGCGGACGGGUGAGUAACACGUGGAUAACCUACCUAUAAGACUGGGAUAACUUCGGGAAACCGGAGCUAAUACCGGAUAAUAUUUUGAACCGCAUGGUUCAAAAGUGAAAGACGGUCUUGCUGUCACUUAUAGAUGGAUCCGCGCUGCAUUAGCUAGUUGGUAAGGUAACGGCCUACAAAGGCAACGAUGCAUAGCCGACCUGAGAGGGUGACCGGCCAAACGGGAACUGGACCACGGUCAAGACUCCUACGGGGGGCAGCAGAAGGAAAUCUUCCGCAAUGGGCGAAAGCCUGACGGAGCAACGCCGCGUGGGUGAUGAAGUUCUUCGGAUCGUAAACCUCUGUUAUUAGGGAGGAACAUAUGUGUAAGGAACUGUGCACAUCUUGACGGUAACUAAUCAGAAAGCCACGGCUAACUACGUG
rnacentral:rRNA from 1 species